rnacentral:rRNA from 1 species
GACGAACGCUGGCGGCGUGCUUAACACAUGCAAGUCGAACGGUAAGGCCCUUCGGGGUACACGAGUGGCGAACGGGUGAGUAACACGUGGGUGAUCUGCCCUGCACUUCGGGAUAAUCCUGGGAAACUGGGUCUAAUACCGGAUAGGACCAUGGGAUGCAUGUCCUGGGAUGGAAAGCUUUUGCGGUGUGGGAUGGGCCCGCGGCCUCUCAGCUGGUCGGUGGGGAUAUGGCCUACCACGGCGACGCCGGGUAGCCGGCCUGAGAGGGUGACCGGACACACUGGGACUGAGUUACGGCCCAUACUCAUACGGGAGGCAGGAGUGGGGAAUAUUGCACAAUGGGCGCAAGCCUGAUGCAGCGACGCCGCGUGAGGGAUGACGGCCUUCGGGUUGUAAACCUCUUUCAGCACCGACGAAGCGCAAGUGACGGUAGGUGCAGAAGAAGGACCGGCCAACUACGUGCCAGCCGCCGCUGUAA